UAAGUUCUACCCAUAGGGUUUGUAUCACUUUGUCCAGGGUGUCAAGAGAGAGAACAAGUUUCGGAACAACAAACUGUGUUAAGGCAGCUUGAGGCCAUAUUGUCUAUCCAUAAAUUGGCGAGAGCGGGAUGUCAUUUAGAUGCCCUGAGGGAGGUUGCAAAACUUCCUUUUCUUCCUUUAGAUCCACGAGCGCCUGAUAUAGAAAAUGAUGCGUUCCAAAAUUUGUUAGCCCAUGUCCAAGCUUGUAUGCCAGACGUUUGAAGGUUGCUCUUCAUUGCUUGGACAAUCUCACAGAUUCAGAUGGAUCACAUCGUGCCCUGAGAACCAAGAUUGCGAAUUUCCUUGCCAACAAUUUGAAUAGGAACUGGCCUCGUGAUCUGUAUGAAAAGGUUGCUCGAAGCUUGUGAAACCAUGGCUUUUCCGGCUGUCUAGGUUGGUUACGCAUAUAUGGCUUUUGUACAAAACAGUCAACUUCGGCUAGUCUGUCCAUGAUGGCCAUUUUUGUUGGUGAGAUCUUUGUGG